AACGAACGCUGGCGGCAGGCCUAACACAUGCAAGUCGAGCGGUACUUCGGGUGAGGGGCGGACGGAUGAGUGACGCGUGGGGAAAUGCCCUUCUCUACGGCAUAGUCCUGGGAGACUGGGGGUAAUACCUUGUACGCCUUUUGGGGGUAGGCUUUAUCGGGGAAGGAUGAGCUCGCGUGGCCUUAGGUAGUUGGUGGGGUAAUCGACUACCAAGCCGAGGAGCCAUAUCUGGGGUGAGAGGAUCAGCAGCCACACUGGGACUGGGACACGGCCCAGACUCCUACGGGAGGGGGCAGAGGGUGAUCUAAGACAACGGGGGCAACGCAGAACUACCCAGGGCGGGAGAGCGAUGUAGGCGUUAGAGAUGUAAAGCAGUUUCAGCUGGGAAGAUUAUGACGGUACCAGCAGAAGAAGCACCGGCUAACUCCGUG
rnacentral:rRNA from 1 species